rnacentral:rRNA from 1 species
CCUACGGGGGGCAGCAGUGGGGAAUAUUGGACAAUGGGCGAAAGCCUGAUCCAGCCAUGCCGCGUGUGUGAAGAAGGCCUUCGGGUUGUAAAGCACUUUCAGUGGGGAAGAAAGCCUUGGGGCUAAUACCCUCGAGGAAGGACAUCACCCACAGAAGAAGCACCGGCUAACUCCGUGCCAGCAGCCGCGGUAAUACGGAGGGUGCGAGCGUUAAUCGGAAUUACUGGGCGUAAAGCGCGCGUAGGCGGUCUGAUAAGCCGGUUGUGAAAGCCCCGGGCUCAACCUGGGAACGGCAUCCGGAACUGUCAGGCUAGAGUGCAGGAGAGGAAGGUGGAAUUCCCGGUGUAGCGGUGAAAUGCGUAGAGAUCGGGAGGAAUACCAGUGGCGAAGGCGGCCUUCUGGACUGACACUGACGCUGAGGUGCGAAAGCGUGGGUAGCAAACAGGAUUAGAUACCCUGGUAGUC